UACAGGGGGUGCAAACGUUGCUCGGAAUCAUUGGGCGUAAAGCGCACGUAGGCGGUUCGUUAUGUCGGAUGUGAAAGCCCUUGGCUCAACCGAGGAAGUGCAUCCGAAACUGGCGAGCUAGAGUACGAAAGAGGAUCGCGGAAUUCCCGGUGUAGAGGUGAAAUUCGUAGAUAUCGGGAGGAACACCGGUGGCGAAGGCGGCGAUCUGGGUCGAUACUGACGCUGAGGUGCGAAAGCGUGGGGAGCAAACAGG
rnacentral:rRNA from 1 species